GUUCACCUUCAUCUCAGAAAAAACUUUCUCUCUGAAAUCUUGACCUUCUAUGCUAACUAUCUCCAUUUGCCGUUGUCGAUGGUCCUAAAAGCUCUGCCACGAAAAGUAUGUCUUCCUUUGUUGUAUUACAGUUAACAAUAUGACACUGGCACUGACACUAAAUCAGGUUUUCGAUAUCCAUCAUUAGCACCCAUAAAUAUGAAUGCAAUAUCUCCUCAAACCCUAAACUUCCCUUCCUCCAAACUCAAUCAGGUUUUCUAAUUUUUCUUCUUCUUUUGAGUAUGUCGUCGUUUCAAUUUCGCAAGCUGAAACGAGUUUAACACAGACAUGAAUUUGGAAACACAUAAGCACAGAGAGAAAAUUGCUUUUUGCUGAUUCAGCCCCAACAAAUGUGUUUUGAUGGCAACCAUUGUAAGGGCGGAAUAUUGGAGGUUCAUGUUUGAGUGCAAAAUGAAGUUUAUACUUGGUCCAGCUUUUCAUAUAAGAAUGUUCUCCUAGCUAACAUAGCUGAAUCUAAGAAACAAACAGAAAUGGCUGCGAGAGUUUCAACACGGAAGCAAAGAAUUCAACAAAACUUAGAAGAAUCGGUGAAUUUAUCUUUUAGAUGUGGUAUACUUUAAUAUCGUUUGAAUUCUGAGACUACGGUGAAAUACUACUUGAGAAACUAUCCCUUGAAGAAAGCAGUGGCAGUGUCUUGCCCUUUUCUGAUUUGGUCAAGGGACAUGGAGUGUAGAAUGGAACAGGACGUUUCUGAAAAGGAAUAAAGCAUGAAGAGUAUUAUUUUACCAUCAUAAAUUUUUUUUGACUUAUGCAGGCCGGAAAAGGAAUUUGUUAUCAAUCACUGACAAGUUAAUUUUUGAUCUUUUGUUUUGUUUUUAAGGUGAUCAACUUGCCAUAGCAAAGAAGAUUGAGAUGAGAAUUGGGAUGGAAACUAAUAUGUACUCAUCAGCUACCUUGCUUGGUCAAGACAGGAACUUUCAAGAGUUACUCAUUAGGUUUCUUUGCAGCAAA